rnacentral:rRNA from 1 species
UCGAGGAUCUUCGGCAAUGGGCGCAAGCCUGACCGAGCGACGCCGCGUGCGCGAUGAAGGCCUUCGGGUUGUAAAGCGCUGUCGAGGGGAAGGAAGGGCAACUUGACCGACCCCUGGAGGAAGCACGGGCUAAGUUCGUGCCAGCAGCCGCGGUAAGACGAACCGUGCGAACGUUGUUCGGAAUCACUGGGCUUAAAGGGCGCGUAGGCGGCUGUGCAAGUCGGGGGUGAAAUCUUUCGGCUUAACCGGAAAAGGGCCUUCGAUACUGCACAGCUCGAGGGGGAUAGGGGCGGACGGAACUUCCGGUGGAGCGGUGAAAUGCGUUGAUAUCGGAAGGAACGCCGGUGGCGAAAGCGGUCCGCUGGGUCCCUACUGACGCUGAGGCGCGAAAGCCAGGGGAGCAAACGGGAUUAGAUACCCCCGUAGUCC